rnacentral:lncRNA from 1 species
AGCGAUUCUCCUGCCUCAGCCUUCCCGGUAGCUGGGAUUACAGGAGCUAGCAUCAGAAUGUUCAGUCCAAGAACAAUGAUUUCUACUCCACUUGGGCACUGAUCUGGCUGUAACAUCUGCAGGGGACAAUCCCAGUUCUGAACGGAAAAAACAACUUUGCUCAUUAUCCACGUUCCAUAUAGCUACUGACGGGAUAAUAAGUGACCACAGCGGAAUACUACGCCUUCUCUGCUGAGAACACAUGGUUGUAAUUCCUUUGGCCUGAAGGAGAAUCACUGAAGCCAUUUUAAACAUUCUUCUGCUGUUUAUAGCCUUUGUCUAAGAUGCCAUGACUGGUAUCGGCCAUGAGUGGCAUAUCCAAUCCCUCUCUAACAUCUGCCGUUAUAGUUCCCAAAGAGGAUUGAGAAGUCUCAACAUAAUCUCACAGGAGAAAUCUUAUUGUUCCUCCAAAGAAUAUUUUGUAUUGAAAGCAAUGCCUCAUAUUUAUGACAUUCUAGAUGUUUAGAGAAAGGAUUUGACUCUGUUGGAUAACUUCAAUCAACGAGGAUAGUCUGGGUUAAAGCAAUCAUGUUUGCCAACUGAAUCUGGGUUGUUUUACAGCUCAUUCCUUAAUAUGGCCACAGCCCCUCCCACCCUCAGCUUCCCCCACCCCCCCACAUUGCCCCAUUCCCUUUGGGACAGGUGAUGUAGCCACAGUAUCAUGUGUAUUGGUAUGAACACAAUGUAAGACAUGCCCAAAGACCUUAUGUAUUUACUCAUCAUUCGGUGACAAUUUUUUUUUAUCACAGCCCUAACUCUGUGUUAAGUACUAUGCUGGCUUCUGGGGUACAAGCAUGAGUGGUAACAGACCCCAAUGCUGCCUGUAGUGCAUCCAGCAUAGACUGUCAGGCAGUGAGAUGCAGCAGGCCCCUUGCAAUAGCUGAGAUUUGGAGCUAGGGAUGCUGUGUCAAUGUGGAUCAGGCAAUGGUACUUUGAAAGGUCAUCAUUAUAAUUUUAUUAAGCUGUGAUGAGAGUGAGAAGAUAAAUAUAGAAAUGUG